rnacentral:rRNA from 1 species
UACGGAGGGGGCGAGCGUUAUUCGGAAUUAUUGGGCGUAAAGGGCGCGUAGGCGGCCCGGUAAGUCAAAGGUGAAAUCCCUCGGCUCAACUGAGGAACUGCCUUUGAAACUGUCGGGCUUGAGGCCGGGAGGGGGUAGCGGAAUUCCCAGUGCAGCGGUGAAAUGCGUAGAUACUGGGAGGAACACCAGUGGCGAAGGCGGCUACCUGGACCGGUUCUGACGCUGAUGCGCGAAAGCGUGGGUAGCAAACAGG